rnacentral:rRNA from 1 species
GCGAAUGUUGGGGCGGGAGCGGGGGGAAGGCAGUGGUGGAAAGCGUUGGGCGGAAUGACUUGGCGGAAAGCGGCGGUAUGCGGCAGGGCAGGUCGGAUGUGAAAUCCCGUGGCUCAACCACGGAAGUGCACCCGAAACUGCCCAGCUGGAGGCUCGGAGAGGAAGGCGGAAUGCUUGGUGUAGAGGUGAAAUUCGUAGAUAUCAAGCGGAACACCGGUGGCGAAGGCGGCCUUCUGGACGAUGACUGACGCUGAGACGCGAAAGCGUGGGGAGCAAACAGGAUUAGAUACCCGUGUAGUC